AGUGAACGCUGGCGGUAGGCCUAACACAUGCAAGUCGAACGGCAGCACAGUAAGAGCUUGCUCUUACGGGUGGCGAGUGGCGGACGGGUGAGGAAUACAUCGGAAUCUACUUUUUCGUGGGGGAUAACGUAGGGAAACUUACGCUAAUACCGCAUACGACCUACGGGUGAAAGCAGGGGAUCUUCGGACCUUGCGCGAUUGAAUGAGCCGAUGUCGGAUUAGCUAGUUGGCGGGGUAAAGGCCCACCAAGGCGACGAUCCGUAGCUGGUCUGAGAGGAUGAUCAGCCACAUGGGAAGUGAGACACGGUCCAGACUCCUACGGGAGGCAGCAGUGGGGAAUAUUAGACAAUGGGCGCAAGCCUGAUCCAGCCAUACCGCGUGGGUGAAGAAGGCCUUCGGGUUGUAAAGCCCUUUUGUUGGGAAAGAAAAGCAGCAGGUUAAUACCCCGCUGUUCUGACGGUACCCAAAGAAUAAGCACCGGCUAACUUCGUG
rnacentral:rRNA from 1 species